rnacentral:rRNA from 2 species
UUUGAUCCUGGCUCAGAUUGAACGCUGGCGGGCAUGCUUACACAUGCAAGUCGAACGGCAGCGGGGACUUCGGUCCGCCGGCGAGUGGCGAACGGGUGAGUAAAGUAUCGGAACGUACCUUUCAGUGGGGGAUAACGUAGCGAAAGUUACGCUAAUACCGCAUAUUCUGUGAGCAGGAAAGCAGGGGAUCGCAAGACCUUGCGCUGAUUGAGCGGCCGAUAUCAGAUUAGCUAGUUGGUGGGGUAAAGGCCUACCAAGGCGACGAUCUGUAGCGGGUCUGAGAGGAUGAUCCGCCACACUGGAACUGAGACACGGUCCAGACUCCUACGGGAGGCAGCAGUGGGGAAUUUUGGACAAUGGGGGCAACCCUGAUCCAGCCAUGCCGCGUGAGUGAAGAAGGCCUUCGGGUUGUAAAGCUCUUUCGGCCGGGAAGAAAUCGCAUAGGUUAAUACCCUGUGUGGAUGACGGUACCGGAAUAAGAAGCACCGGCUAACUACGUGCCAGCAGCCGCGGUAAUACGUAGGGUGCGAGCGUUAAUCGGAAUUACUGGGCGUAAAGCGUGCGCAGGCGGUUUCGUAAGACAGAGGUGAAAUCCCCGGGCUCAACCUGGGAACUGCCUUUGUGACUGCGAAGCUAGAGUACGGCAGAGGGGGGUGGAAUUCCACGUGUAGCAGUGAAAUGCGUAGAGAUGUGGAGGAACACCGAUGGCGAAGGCAGCCCCCUGGGCCGAUACUGACGCUCAUGCACGAAAGCGUGGGUAGCAAACAGGAUUAGAUACCCUGGUAGUCCACGCCCUAAACGAUGUCAACUAGGUGUUGGGUGGGUAAAACCAUUUAGUACCGUAGCUAACGCGUGAAGUUGACCGCCUGGGGAGUACGGCCGCAAGGUUAAAACUCAAAGGAAUUGACGGGGACCCGCACAAGCGGUGGAUGAUGUGGAUUAAUUCGAUGCAACGCGAAAAACCUUACCUACCCUUGACAUGUUCAGAAUCCUGGAGAGAUUUGGGAGUGCCCGAAAGGGAGCUGGAACACAGGUGCUGCAUGGCUGUCGUCAGCUCGUGUCGUGAGAUGUUGGGUUAAGUCCCGCAACGAGCGCAACCCUUGUCGUUAAUUGCCAUCAUUUAGUUGGGCACUUUAACGAGACUGCCGGUGACAAACCGGAGGAAGGUGGGGAUGACGUCAAGUCCUCAUGGCCCUUAUGGGUAGGGCUUCACACGUCAUACAAUGGUCGGUACAGAGGGUUGCCAAGCCGCGAGGUGGAGCCAAUCCCAGAAAGCCGAUCGUAGUCCGGAUUGCAGGCUGCAACUCGCCUGCAUGAAGUCGGAAUCGCUAGUAAUCGCGGAUCAGCAUGUCGCGGUGAAUACGUUCCCGGGUCUUGUACACACCGCCCGUCACACCAUGGGAGCGGGUUCCGCCAGAAGUAGGUAGCCUAACCCGCAAGGGGGGCGCUUACCACGGCGGGGUUCGUGACUGGGGUGAAGUCGUAACAAG